rnacentral:rRNA from 1 species
UGAGGAAUAUUGGUCAAUGGGCGAGAGCCUGAACCAGCCAAGUAGCGUGCAGGAUGACGGCCCUAUGGGUUGUAAACUGCUUUUAUGUGGGGAUAAAGUGCGUGACGUUUCAUGCAUUGCAGGUACCACAUGAAUAAGGACCGGCUAAUUCCGUGCCAGCAGCCGCGGUAAUACGUAAGGUCCGUGCGUUAUCCGGAUUUAUUGGGUUUAAAGGGAGCGUAGGCUGUCUAUUAAGCGUGUUGUGAAAUUUACCGGCUCAACCGGUGGCUUGCAGCGCGAACUGGUCGACUUGAGUAUGCAGGAAGUAGGCGGAAUUCAUGGUGUAGCGGUGAAAUGCUUAGAUAUCAUGACGAACUCCGAUUGCGCAGGCAGCUUACUGUAGCAUAACUGACGCUGAUGCUCGAAAGUGCGGGUAUCAAACAGG